GACGAACGCUGGCGGCGUGCUUAACACAUGCAAGUCGAACGGAAAGGCCCUGCUUUUGUGGGGUGCUCGAGUGGCGAACGGGUGAGUAACACGUGAGUAACCUGCCCUUGACUUUGGGAUAACUUCAGGAAACUGGGGCUAAUACCGGAUAGGAGCUCCUGCUGCUGGGUGGGGGUUGGAAAGUUUCGGCGGUUGGGGAUGGACUCGCGGCUUAUCAGCUUGUUGGUGGGGUAGUGGCUUACCAAGGCUUUGACAGGUAGCCGGGCUGGGAGGGUGACCGGCCACAUUGGGCCUGGGAUGCGGCACAGACUCGUACGGGACGCAGCAGUGGAGAAUAUUGCACAAUGGGAGGAAGCCUGGUGCAGCAACGCCGCGUGGGGGAAGACGGCCAUGGGGUUGUAAACCGCUUUCGCCUGUGACGAAGCGUGAGUGACGGUAAUGGGUAAAGAAGCACCGGCUAACUACGUG
rnacentral:rRNA from 1 species